CCAGCAGCCGCGGUAAUUCCAGCUCCAAUAGCGUAUAUUAAAGUUGCUGCGGUUAAAAAGCUCGUAGUUGGAUAUGGGUCUCGGUCGGGUGGUGCCGCCUCACGGUGGUCACUGCCUCGAUCGGACAAUUCAUUGGAUCGUUCGGGGUGCUCUUAACCGAGUGUCCUGGGUGGCCGAUACGUUUACUUUGAACAAAUUAGAGUGCUUAAAGCAGGUGCACCGCGCCUGAAUAUCACAGCAUGGAAUGAUGGAAUAGGACCUCGGUCUUAUUAUGUUGGUUUUCUGGACUUGAGGUAAUGGUUAACAGAGACAGACGGGGGCAUUCGUACUGCGACGCUAGAGGUGAAAUUCUUGGACCGUCGCAAGACGAA
rnacentral:rRNA from 1 species